rnacentral:rRNA from 1 species
AUUGAACGCUGGCGGCAGGCCUAACACAUGCAAGUCGAGCGGAUGAAGGGAGCUUGCUCCUGGAUUCAGCGGCGGACGGGUGGGUAAUGCCUAGGAAUCUGCCUGUUAGUGGGGGAUAACUUCCGGAAACGGGCGCUAAUACCGCAUACGUCCUGAGGGAGAAAGGGGGGGAUCUUCGGACCUCACGCUAUCAGAUGAGCCUAGGUCGGAUUAGCUAGUUGGUGGGGUAAAGGCCUACCAAGGCGACGAUCCGUAACUGGUCUGAGAGGAUGAUCAGUCACACUGGAACUGAGACACGGUCCAGACUCCUACGGGAGGCAGCAGUGGGGAAUAUUGGACAAUGGGCGAAAGCCUGAUCCAGCCAUGCCGCGUGUGUGAAGAAGGUCUUCGGAUUGUAAAGCACUUUAAGUUGGGAGGAAGGGCAGUAAGUUAAUACCUUGCUGUUUUGACGUUACCAACAGAAUAAGCACCGGCUAACUUCGUG